rnacentral:rRNA from 1 species
AUAACGCUCGGAAACGGCUGCUAAUACCGCAUAAUGCAGCGGCUCGACAUCGAGACAGUUGUUAAAGCGGGGGAUCGUGGCAACACGACCUCGCGCCUGAAGAGAAGCCUGCGGCAGAUUAGCUAGUUGGUAAGGUAAUGGCUUACCAAGGCGACGAUCUGUAACCGGCCUGAGAGGGCGGUCGGUCACACUGACACUGACAUACGGGUCAG